rnacentral:snoRNA from 1 species
CUACUGCCAAUUAAACCUACCAUUCUCCUUUCUUCAUGGGGAACGUGAUAUGCGAUGACCGCAAACAUCAGCCUUUUCAGAAUUAUACACAGGCUGCUAUCAUAGGGGACCUUUAAGACAGAU